GUGUGCGAAUGAGAACUUUUGAGACGUGAGAGUCGGAAUCUUCGCGAGUGAGUCAUCGCUUAAACCAGCUCUGAGUCAGUCGCGACACACCACCUGAAACCCCGAUAAAACCACCAUGGAAAUAGUUGGUUGCUGUUUUACAGUUACAGUCUAUCGCCGGCAAGGAUAGGCUACACGGACGCAACACCAUGGGGUCCUCGUGGCCUUUCUCUCUGCAGGAUACAGGUCAGUGUAGGUCCAGCUUUGGGGUCGGCUGGCGUGGCUGAUCAAUUUUGCUUUUAUCGGUUUCUGCUCUUUGAAGAGGGAGAGGGAAAGGGAA